rnacentral:piRNA from 1 species
UCACCAACUCGACUUGUGUAGAACCUCUC